GACUUCGUAGCUCAGUUGGAUAGAGCGUCCGCCUCCUAAGCGGAAGGUCGGCGGUUCGAAUCCGCCCGAGGUCACCA
rnacentral:tRNA from 1 species